GUACUUGCUUCGACAGCACAUACACUAAAAUAGGAACGAUACAGAGAAUAUUGGCACUGCCUCUGCGCGAGGAUGUCACGAAAAAUCGUGAAGCGCUCCACAUUUUU
rnacentral:snRNA from 1 species